AGUAACACGUGGGUAACCUGCCUUACAGGAGGGGGAUAACAGUUUAGAAAAGACUGCUAAUACCGCAUAAGCACACAGUACCGCAUGGGUACGGGGUAGAAAAGAUUUAUCGCUGUAAGAUGGACCCGCGUCCGAUUAGAUAGUUGGCGGGGUAACGGCCCACCAAGGCGACGAUCAGUAGCCGGUCUGAGAGGAUGAACGGCCACAUUGGGACUGAGACACGGCCCAGACUCCUACGGGAGGCAGCAGUGGGGAAUCUUCCGCAAUGGACGAAAGUCUGACGGAGCAACGCCGCGUGAACGAUGACGGCCUUCGGGUUGUAAAGUUCUGUUAUACGGGACGAAUGGCGUAGCGGUCAAUACCCGUUACGAGUGACGGUACCGUAAGAGAAAGCCACGGCUAACUACGUG
rnacentral:rRNA from 1 species